GACCUCUUGUAAAAACACCUUCCUUUUUUUUUCCAGAAAAGGGACACUAUAAGCUAUGGGCUCAGCAGUAACAAGACUCACUUAUUACCUUUCUCUUUAAGAUCCUAACAGUGGAGAAUUUUCCUGAGAGCUGGAAGAUUAGGGGUCUCACCUUCAUAAAAGCACAAAGAUUCCAAUUACAGUAUAAAGGAAUAUGAGAGAAAGAGGUACUGAGCUAUCAGAUGUGUGAAUGAAGUAUAGAGAUGGCCAUUGAUUGUAAGAUGAGCUCCUUAAAGGCACUGACUUGGAGGAGCGACUGGAAGACAGACCCUGGAGGAGCGACUAGAAGGCAGACACCUA
rnacentral:lncRNA from 1 species